rnacentral:rRNA from 1 species
UGAGGAAUAUUGGUCAAUGGACGAGAGUCUGAACCAGCCAAGUAGCGUGAAGGAUGACUGCCCUAUGGGUUGUAAACUUCUUUUAUAUGGGAAUAAAACGUUCCACGUGUGGGAUUUUGUAUGUACCAUAUGAAUAAGGAUCGGCUAACUCCGUGCCAGCAGCCGCGGUAAUACGGAGGAUCCGAGCGUUAUCCGGAUUUAUUGGGUUUAAAGGGAGCGUAGGUGGUUUGUUAAGUCAGAUGUGAAAGUUUGCGGCUCAACCGUAAAAUUGCAGUUGAUACUGGCUGUCUUGAGUACAGUAGAGGUGGGCGGAAUUCGUGGUGUAGCGGUGAAAUGCUUAGAUAUCACGAAGAACUCCGAUUGCGAAGGCAGCUCACUGGACUGCAACUGGCACUGAUGCACGAAGGCGUGGGUAUCGAACAGG